rnacentral:rRNA from 1 species
UACUGCCAUACCACACUCUGAACGUGCACGAUCCCGUCUGAUCUCAGAAGCUAAGUGGGGUCGAGUCUGGUUAGUACUUGGAUGGGAGACCCCCACAGGAAAUGCAAGAAAAUGCCGAGU